UGUGGCAAAAAGUUUGAUUCUUGCUUAUGAGUCUUUGGAUUUAAGAAGUUUUACAUGCAAAUAUUUGUGUUAUAUGAUUGUAAUAUUUAGUUAUGAUUUAAUUUAUUACGUGCAGUAUUUAAUAUUAAGAGGUCAAAGUAGUUUGGAUUUAGUUUUUGGAGAAUUAAUCGGAGAAAUUCGUGCCAGCAUCCGCGGUUAUACGUAAGAUUAAAUUAAGAUUUUUUGGUUAAGAGAUGAGUUCAUAGUUGAUGAGUGAUAAAAACAUUAAUUUGGUUAUAUGAAGGUGAAAUGAAAUAUAAUUUUAUAUUGUUUAUAAGACAUAGUUAUGGGUUCAUAAAAAUUGGUUGUUAUUAGACUAGGAUUAGAUACCCUAUUAUUCCAGUGAUCAAAUUUAACCUGGGUAGUAAUAUUAUUUUUGGAACCUAAAGAAUUUGGCGGUGUUUUAUUCUAAUCAGAGGAAUCUGUCCCGUAAUCGAUAGUCCACGGUUUAUUUUACUUAAUUUUGUUUAGGUCAUUCAUUAUGUAUACCGUUGUCGUCAGAAUAUUUUAUAAGGAAAUAAAUUUUCUAAAUAUUUUUGGAUGUAACGUCAAAUCAAGGUGCAGAUAAUAGUUAAGUGGAGAUGGAUUACAUUUAAUGUCUUUAGUGAAUAAUCAUCUGUAAUAAUGGAUUGAAAUUGGAUUUGAUUGUAAUUUGAAAUAUAUAUUUUAUUUGAAAUAUGCUCUAAAACAUGCACACAUCGCCCGUCACUCUCGUUUAUUAAGAUGAGAAAAGUCGUAACAUAGUAGACAUACCGGAAGGUGUGCCUAAAAUUA
rnacentral:ncRNA from 1 species